rnacentral:rRNA from 1 species
CAGAGUUUGAUCCUGGCUCAGGAUGAACGCUGGCGGCGUGCCUAACACAUGCAAGUCGAACGAGGUAUAUCGGAUUGAGAUUCGUCGAAGGAAGAUAUACCGAGUGGCGGAUGGGUGAGUAACGCGUGGAGAACCUGCCCUAUGCAGGGGGAUAACAGCUGGAAACGGCUGACAAUACCGCAUAAGCGCACGAUGCCGCAUGGCAUAGAGCGAAAAGAUUUAUCGGCAUAGGAUGGCUCCGCGUCGGAUUAGCCAGUUGGCGGGGUAACGGCCCACCAAAGCGACGAUCCGUAGCCGGCCUGAGAGGGCGACCGGCCACAUUGGGACUGAGACACGGCCCAGACUCCUACGGGAGGCAGCAGUGGGGGAUAUUGCACAAUGGGCGCAAGCCUGAUGCAGCGACGCCGCGUGGAGGAUGAAGUAUUUCGGUAUGUAAACUCCUUUCGGCAGGGAAGAAAACGACGGUACCUGCAGAAGAAGCCCCGGCUAACUACGUGCCAGCAGCCGCGGUAAUACGUAGGGGGCAAGCGUUAUCCGGAUUCACUGGGUGUAAAGGGAGCGUAGACGGACUGUCAAGCCAGAUGUGAAAAUCCGGGGCUCAACCCCGGACCUGCAUUUGGAACUGAUGGACUGGAGUACCGGGUGGGCAGGCGGAAUUCCUGGUGUAGCGGUGAAAUGCGUAGAUAUCAGGAGGAACACCGGUGGCGAAGGCGGCCUGCUGGACGGAUACUGACGUUGAGGCUCGAAAGCGUGGGGAGCAAACAGGAUUAGAUACCCUGGUAGUCCACGCGGUAAACGAUGAAUAUUAGGUGUCAGGGCGCAAAGCGCCGUGGUGCCGAAGCGAACGCAUUAAAUAUUCCACCUGGGGAGUACGUCCGCAAGAAUGAAACUCAAAGGAAUUGACGGGGACCCGCACAAGCGGUGGAGCAUGUGGUUUAAUUCGAUGCAACGCGAAGAACCUUACCAAGCCUUGACAUCCCGGUGAAAGAUCCGUAAUGGGAUCCCCUCUUCGGAGCGCCGGAGACAGGUGGCGCAUGGUUGUCGUCAGCUCGUGUCGUGAGAUGUUGGGUCAAGUCCCGCAACGAGCGCAACCCUUGCUUCAUGUAGCCAGCAGGAAAGCUGGGCACUCAUGAAGGACAGCCGGGGACAACCCGGAGGAAGGUGGGGAUGACGUCAAAUCAUCAUGCCCCUUAUGGCUUGGGCUACACACGUGCUACAAUGGCGCAUACAAAGGGAAGCGAGCCCGCGAGGGUAAGCGAAUCUCAGAAAAGGCGUCCCAGUUCGGACUGCAGGCUGCAACCCGCCUGCACGAAGCUGGAAUCGCUAGUAAUCGCGGAUCAGAAUGCCGCGGUGAAUACGUUCCCGGGUCUUGUACACACCGCCCGUCACACCAUGGGAGCCGGUAACACCCGAAGCCUGUGACCCAACGAAAGAGGGAGCAGUCGAAGGUGGGACCGAUGACUGGGGUGAAGUCGUAACAAGGUA